rnacentral:tRNA from 1 species
GCGGGUGUAGCACAACGGUUAGUGCUCCUGCCUUCCAAGCAGGAUACGACGGUUCAAUUCCGUUCACCCGCUCCA